GACGAACGCUGGCGGCGUGCUUAACACAUGCAAGUCGAACGGAAAGGCCCUGCUUGCAGGGUACUCGAGUGGCGAACGGGUGAGUAACAUGUGGGUGAUCUGCCCUGCACUUCGGGAUAAGCCUGGGAAACUGGGUCUAAUACCGGAUAGGAGCCAUUUUUAGUGUGAUGGUUGGAAAGUUUUUUCGGUGUAGGAUGAGCUCGCGGCCUAUCAGCUUGUUGGUGGGGUAAUGGCCUACCAAGGCGGCGACGGGUAGCCGGCCUGAGAGGGUGGACGGCCACAUUGGGACUGAGAUACGGCCCAGACUCCUACGGGAGGCAGCAGUGGGGAAUAUUGCACAAUGGGCGCAAGCCUGAUGCAGCGACGCCGCGUGGGGGAUGACGGCCUUCGGGUUGUAAACUCCUUUCGCUAGGGACGAAGCUUUUUGUGACGGUACCUAGAUAAGAAGCACCGGCUAACUACGUG
rnacentral:rRNA from 1 species